rnacentral:rRNA from 1 species
GACGAACGCUGGCGGCGUGCUUAACACAUGCAAGUCGAACGGAAAGGCCCUGCUUUUGUGGGGUGCUCGAGUGGCGAACGGGUGAGUAACACGUGAGUAACCUGCCCUUGACUUUGGGAUAACUUCAGGAAACUGGGGCUAAUACCGGAUAGGAGCUCCUGCUGCAUGGUGGGGGUUGGAAAGUUUCGGCGGUUGGGGAUGGACUCGCGGCUUAUCAGCUUGUUGGUGGGGUAGUGGCUUACCAAGGCUUUGACGGGUAGCCGGCCUGAGAGGGUGACGGGCCACACUGGAACUGAGACACGGUGCAGACUCCGAAGGGAGGCAGCAGUGGGGAAUAUUGGACAAGGGGCGGAAGCAUGAGCCAGCCAUACCGCGUGGGUGAAGAAGGCAUUCGGGUUGUAAAGACAUGUUGUUGGGAAAGAAAAGCAGAAGGUUAAUACCCCGCUGUUCUGACGGUACCAAAAGAAUAAGCACCGGCUAACUUCGUG